UACGUAGGGUGCAAGCGUUGUCCGGAAUUAUUGGGCGUAAAGAGCUCGUAGGCGGUUUGUCGCGUCUGCUGUGAAAACUCGGGGCUUAACCCCGGGCCUGCAGUGGGUACGGGCAGACUAGAGUGUGGUAGGGGAGACUGGAAUUCCUGGUGUAGCGGUGAAAUGCGCAGAUAUCAGGAGGAACACCGAUGGCGAAGGCAGGUCUCUGGGCCAUAACUGACGCUGAGAAGCGAAAGCAUGGGGAGCGAACAGG
rnacentral:rRNA from 1 species